rnacentral:lncRNA from 10 species
AAGCGCAACGCCUCCACCUCCCUCUCCCUAUUCACUGUAAAGAAUGGGAUGCUUCUUUUAGGCAAAGCCACUCAAAGAGUUCUGCCUCUGACUUUGCACCAUUUCAAUGCACAGUUCCGGAGGGCUGGGCAGAGCGCACACUUUCAAUCAAAAGCACUACAUUGUUUGUUUUGAUCAUGCAGUCUUUGCUGUCAGUCUCAUUUCAUCCCCAGUGCCACAGUAAGAGGUCUGCGCCUCCGAACGUGACCCUCGCACGUGGACCCAGCAAGAGGAAGGCUCAACUGCUUGCUCUGAUGAGGGAGCUGUCAGCAUAUGUUAUUCUAUCAGGGUAGUGCCACCAAGAUCACUUUAAUUACUGUGGCGAGAGCUACCUUGUCUGUUACCAAUGACACACAAGGAACAGUGUUUGGCUCAUGAUCAAACAUAAUUUCUAAUGAUUAGAGGAAAGUCUGCUCUUCAUUGCUGAAGGCACUUGUUCUCGUGUCUGGGAUGGCAAAGUAAUACAACCACAAAACCAGAGACAGCAACUCAGGCUCUGAGUUUUACAUUUAAAGGUAAUUAAUGGCUUUGAUUAAAAAUCUGUACAAAAAUUAUACAUAUUUCAUUUCUCUUUUCAUAGGUCAACACCUAAACCAAAUGAUUUUCCAGCUUUUACUUUAUUGAGACUUGGGAAAAGAGCUGCCAUGAGAAGGGAGCCUGCAGCUGGAGCCAUGUGCCAUAGCAGGUGGUGAGGAUCAAAUGGAAUUGUCCUUGUUGCCUGCUCUAGUCCUUUCUAGCGGGGGGUUGGGCUGGGGGGGAUUUGGGGCUACCAGGAAGGGCUCUAACCAGCAAUGGUGGGUUCAGACCCAAAUACAUUAAUUUGACACUAUAGGACUCCCAUCCAAAGGAUGGGAAACGAGGGGCACAAAAUGAGCAUAUUAUUGGGCAAUUGUGCACUCUGUAAAGCAUUUAUCUUUCUAAGAAGAAUGCCUUUCUGCAAAGUGCUCAGACACAUAAACAGUUCUGUUAAUCACAGCUGCAUCUACUCAGAGUUUCUAGGCUCCAUUGACCCAGUCCAGUUUUAGAGGCUUUGCCCUGACACUGUCUCCUCUAUCUUCACUGUAAAUCUAUGGGAUCUCCAAUGUCCUUUUGCAAAGGUAAAACUAGGCAGUGUGAUGAAGGGCACCUCUCAGAGUCAUGGGGCCAACUGUUGGCCAGCCUUGUGUAGGGCCAGCCUUUUCAUCUCUUCUCCACUGAAUGAGGCCUAAUAAUACUUCCCUGAUACUACAUCACUAGGGCUGAUGGGACAAGCAGGCUGGAAGCUCCCAGGAGUGACGUAUAGACUUGCAGCUGUUGCUAAAAGAGACGUCUGGGGAAAGUAGCCAGACGUGUGGGUGGGGUCAUGUGGCCCAGUCAGGACAGCUGAGCAAGACUCUAGGUCAGUACUCACCAAUAUACUCAUCCUGAUCCACAAACCCAUCCCCGUUCUUGUCGAUGUCCUCCAGGGUUUCCUAGGAAGCAAAAGGUAAAACAGAAUGCAAGAUGGCCAUGUGCUCUAAGAAGUCUGAGAAUUCUAUUGUCCUCAUUUGUCCAGCUUUUACGGCUGAAUGCUUGGUGACUUCUGGCUCAUCGCCUUACUUCCCUGGGAACUAGUUUUUUAUCUGUAAAAAACAGGCAAUAGUUUCUGUUCCUAAUCCCCCACCCCAGUUUCCAGAGCAGAAUGCUUUCUUCAAAGCAAGCAAGAUGUACCUGUAACCCCAGAGGUGCUCUGACGAUAUCAGGAGGCCCUGCCAGGCCAACUAACUCCACCAUCCAGCCAAAACACCCACUGGGGAACAUGCGAGAAACCCAGUGUGAGAACCACUGGAUUAGAUGACCACAAGAAUAGACUCUAGUGCUAACAGGACUAUGAAUACUGAGUUGGUGUCAAGAGAAAUGUGAAACAGUGGGCAACUAAAAAAUAAAAGUAUAUCUGACUUUUUGAUGUAUUGUGCUCUGUAUUUAGUAUACUUGACCUCUUAUUCAGUAUUUUUUGAUUGGGUCAAUAAUUAAAUGAGUUUACUGUUCAUUGGCACAGCAACUCAGAGGCAUCCUGGGUCAAACCAAAGAGCCAACCUGAGAGCAGAGAGCCACUCCCAAAGGCUCGUAGUCUACUCGGGAUCAUUCACCACCUGCACUGUCCUCUGCCACAUUAGCUAACACUACAUGAAUGUUGAGUGGUAAAGAGAAAUGAUUCUUGGAGCCACUGCCCAGUCCUUACAGUCAUGGCAGUCAGGAGGAUGAAGCAUGAGUGGACCCUUCCACCACCUGGAUAACUAAAACCAUCCACAGCUCGUGUAAACAAAAGCUCUAGCCAUCUGUUUCCCAGGAUUGAAACAGUUGGAACUGGGUUGGUGCAUCUGCCCAGGAAAACAGGUGAUGGCAUUUAUUUAAUUGUCAUGGAAAAUGAAGACAUUUGGGACCCAACAAGACACUACGGAAAGCAACUACAUUCUGAGGCCUUACAAGCAUAGUCAUUCCUCAAAGCCUAGGGCCUGAUCCACCCACCCUCCAAAGACCCACCCGCUAAGGGUAGCAUCUCUUCCAGCCAUAAUUUUUACUUUACAUUUCCAUACAGUUUUAACAAUCCAAUUCAUUCCAUUUCUGAGUCUUUUUCCAAGUCCCUUAAAAUUGAAAAAUGGGGCAGAGACUAGCUAGUUGCUCACUUAAGCCAUUUGCUCUUUCUUUUUUUUUUUUUUGAGAAGG